rnacentral:rRNA from 1 species
AAUCCCGUCUUUGGCAUGGAUGACCGGGGCUUUUGUGAUGCGCUCUCGAAGAGUCGAGUUGUUUGGGAAUGCAGCUCAAAAUGGGUGGUGAACUCCAUCUAAAGCUAAAUAUUGGCGAGAGACCGAUAGCGAACAAGUACCGUGAGGGAAAGAUGAAAAGCACUUUGGAAAGAGAGUGAAACAGUACGUGAAAUUGUUGAAAGGGAAACGCUUGAAGUCAGUCGCGUCGGCCGAGACUCAGCCUUGCCUCGGCUUGGUGUACUUCUUGACCGACGGGUCAGCAUCAAUUUUGCCCCUUGGAUAAUGGCGAGGGAAAUGUGACACCUUUAUAGGUGUGUUAUAGUCUCUCGUCGCAUGCAAGGGUCGGGAUUGAGGAACUCAGCACGCGCCUUCGGGCGUCGGGGCCUUGCCCACGAUACGUGCUUAGGAUGUUGGCGUAAUGGCUUUAAACGACCCGUCUUGAAACACGGACCAAGGAGUCUAACAUGCCCGCGAGUGUUCGGGUGGAAAACCCGUGCGCGCAAUGAAAGUGAAAGUUGGGACCUCUGUCGCGGAGGGCACCGACGCCCGGACCAGAGCUUCUGCGACGGAUCUGCGGUGGAGCGUGUAUGUUAGGACCCGAAAGAUGGUGAACUAUGCCUGAAUAGGGUGAAGCCAGAGGAAACUCUGGUGGAGGCUCGUAGCGAUUCUGACGUGCAAAUCGAUCGUCAAAUUUGGGUAUAGGGGCGA